CGCUGAGUUUGAUCCUGGCUCAGGAUGAACGCUAGCGGCAGGCUUAACACAUGCAAGUCGAGGGGUAUUGGUUUUCGGACCAAGAGACCGGCGCACGGGUGCGUAACGCGUAUGCAAUCUACCUUUUACAGAGGGAUAGCCCAGAGAAAUUUGGAUUAAUACCUCAUAGUAUGUGAGAAUCGCAUGGUUUUCACAUUAAAGUCACAACGGUAAAAGAUGAGCAUGCGUCCCAUUAGCUAGAUGGUAAGGUAACGGCUUACCAUGGCGACGAUGGGUAGGGGUCCUGAGAGGGAGAUCCCCCACACUGGUACUGAGACACGGACCAGACUCCUAUGGGAGCAGCAGUGAGGAAUUUUGGACAAUGGACGCAAGCCUGAUCCCAG
rnacentral:rRNA from 1 species